rnacentral:lncRNA from 1 species
CCACCUAGGCCCCACCUCUAACGUUAGGGAGUAUAAUUCCACACGGGUUUUGAUAGGGAUAUAGAGACAAACCAUAUUAUUCUGUCCCUGACCCCACGAAUCUCUUGUCCUUUUCACAUUGCAAAAUACAAUCAUGCCUUCCCAGCAUGAGUCUUAACUCAUUUCAGCAUUAACACAAUGUUACAAAGUCCAAAGUCUCAUCUGAGUCAAGGCUGCAGCCUCUUUUGCCUAUAAGCCUCUGAAAUAAAAUGCAAGAUCACUGCUUCUAAGGUACAGGGGUGGUACAGGCAUUGUGUAAGCUUUCCAUAUCCAAAAGGAAGACAUUUUCCAGAAAGCUUCUUAUUUCUAUCUGAGACCUCCUCAGCCUAGCCUUCACUGUCCAUGUUUCUGUCAGGAUUUUGGUCACAACCAUUUAACCAGUCUCUAAGAUGGUCCAAACUUUCUCAUCUGUCUUCUUUUGAGCCCUCCAAACUCUUCCAACCUCUGUCCAUUACCUAGUUCCAAAGCUGCUUCCACAUUUUCAGGUAUCUUUAUAGCAAUGCUCCAGUCCUCAUUUGCCAUUUUCUGUAUGAUUCAUUAUGAAAAAGAGGUUUAAUUGGCUCAUGGUUCUGCAGGGUGGACAGGAAGCACAGGGCUUCUGCUUCUGGUAGGCCUCAGAAAUCUUUCAAUCUUUGUGCAAGGCAAAGAAAGAGUGAGUUGUCUCACACGGCAAGAGGAAAACAUGCAGAGUAGGGAGGUGACAUAGAGUUUUCAAUGACCAGGUCUCAUGAGAAGUCACUCAGGCUUUAUCCAGCCAGCUUCUUUGAGACUCUUCACAGGGUUUGAGGUCUACAGCAUAUACAUGAAAAUAUUCAUACUUCAAAAAGCAAUAAAGUAAGUGGUAUCAUUCUUCCAAAAGUUACAAUGGUAGUGUAGGAAUUCAUAGCAUGGUUUAGGUCAUGUUUGCUACUGUUUCUAUUCUAUCGCCAUAUUAACUGUUUCCUACACAAUUCUAUAUUCAGCUGAGUUUCAAUUGAGAACAAAGCCAUCCUUGUACUACCGCCAAUACCUGGCACUAGCUCUUUGCUAGUGUUAUUAUUCUGCUGUAGAAAGCAUCCUUGAACUGGAAACAGUGCACAAUCGAGUAUCUAGUCAUUCAACACUAUCAAUUCCUGGGUGACCUUUUGAAAAAAUAGUAUCUCUUGUUGCAAGAAAUCCUGCAUCUGUGAGUCCAUGUUUCUCACCGGAAUUGGAUGGAAGUGGUGAAUUUCAGCCACAGUGUCCAAAGAAAUCCUGUUCCUGUGAUUCUGACAUCAUCAGCCUCUGCACCUCUGUCUUCCCUUCUGCCACAUGUUGCCUGCUCUCCAUGACUUUGGUAAGAGCUUCCUUGUGUAUGUGGAUGAUGUCCGGGAUGUUGACCUGGUGUCCCUGAGACAGCACUAACAGGUCCAUGACUGGGUCCAGUUCCUGGAUGGGCUGAUUGGCAGAGCUCACCAACGGUGUUGAAGGCAUCUCUGGUGAAGUGAUGGCCUGGCCCAGCUCCAAGACCUGGCUGAGGCUGAAGAACUGGCCACCUUCUGAUGCUCCUUCUUAAAACCCAUCACCAUAAUCUGCUUGCAUGUCAACUCAUUGGCUGAGAAGUUGAGCUGAGUGCCCUGUGUUUCUAUCUUCUUGGUGAAGCACUCGAAGCCAUCAAUUUUGCUCUCCCACUCUUAAAGGUUGAGGGCCACCUUGGGGGUGGGCUCAGGGUCAGGAAGAAGCUGGAAUUCACCACCUCAUCCUUCUCAGCCUUCCUCUUGCCCUGUCUCCAGGCUGUCUCUUCAGUGCUGGUGUGACACAUCAGGAAGUGAUGGAAGAUGUGGCACUGUGCCUGCACCCAAAAGCUGGCUGUGUGGUUCAUCUACCAGAUUGGGCCCUUUCUGCACUUGAACACGGAGUCCUUCUCAAGAUGGCCUGUGGUCUGCCUCUUGGCACCCAAGAAGCCCACAGUUCUGUAGGAGCCCUCAUGCAUGGACUGGAGCCCCAAAGGCAGUGCACACCCUGCUCCUGAGCCUGCUGCUCAUUUCCUCUAUGUGGCUCCAUCUGCAGCACAGUGGUUGCAUUGAGGCCUGUGCAUGCCAGGCAAGGCUGAGUUCCCUGGGUGGUAAUGCUGACUGCUGCUGGGGGGCCCAUAGUGCCCCUCCCCUCCCAGGGCCCAGGAUGAGGCCUGACUGGGCCAGGACCCUUUAGGUAUGGAUCUCAUUCCCAAGCAGGGGGCCUCUGUCCCACAGGUUGGAUGAGAAGAUGCUGCUGGCUGCCAGGGUUGUUCAGAUGCCACGUUCACCCUUCCCUCCAGGGACAUCAAAGUUUCCAGCUUCCCCUUUGAGAAUGACUUCCCAAGGCCCAGGUGCCAUCUGGGGCUGCAGGGCAGCUGGCUGCAUGCUGCCCUGGCUUCUUCCAUGUUGGGCUGGUCACUACCCACCAAGGGGGGUCAGAUGCAGGCACCAAGUAGGGCGGUUGUCUCUGGACCUGCAUCUUGGUUAUCAUGGAGCCAGACUGGGCCUGGUGACAGGGCCAUGAUGGGGUUGUCCUGGUGGUCCUGGGGGUGUCCAGAGGAGAUGCAGAAUGGAAUUGCUGCAAGGAUGAAUGAGAUGACUGUCAGCACAGAACAGGCACCCGGUGAGUGCUCAGGUAUUACCCUCAGUAGCUGCCCAGAGGCCAAAACCACCCACUUGAUAGUGACUGUCCCCAAGCCAGGA